UCGGAUAUGGUGUAGGGUGCACCGCCUCUAUCUCUACUAGAGGCUGUCCGGGGUUCGACCCCCCGUGUCCGAA